rnacentral:rRNA from 1 species
CCUACGGGAGGCAGCAGUGGGGGAUAUUGCACAAUGGGGGAAACCCUGAUGCAGCGACGCCGCGUGGGUGAAGAAGCGCCUCGGCGCGUAAAGCCCUGUCAGCAGGGAAGAAAAUGACGGUACCUGAAGAAGAAGCCCCGGCUAACUACGUGCCAGCAGCCGCGGUAAGACGUAGGGGGCAAGCGUUAUCCGGAUUUACUGGGUGUAAAGGGGGCGCAGUCGGCGGUGCAAGCCAGGAGUGAAAGCCCGGGGCCCAACGCCGGGACUGCUCUUGGAACUGCGUGGCUAGAGUGCAGGAGGGGCAGGCGGAAUUCCUGGUGUAGCGGUGAAAUGCGUAGAUAUUAGGAGGAACACCAGUGGCGAAGGCGGCCUGCUGGACGAUGACUGACGUUGAGGCUCGAAAGCGUGGGGAGCAAACAGGAUUAGAUACCCCUGUAGUC